GUUACGGGAAGGUCUCGGCUUUCUUCCUGGGGGAAGAAGAAAAAUGGCAGAGAGUGUGAGGGUCUCAAAUUACUGCCACCGAGCAUCGAACUGGCAGCAUAUGUGCGAGUGAAGGAAUCUCGCUCGCUUAAUAAGCUCUUUUUCCGAUCCAGCGCUUUUGUAAAAUGUUUUCAUUGGGAAACGCAGCGAUGAGAGAAAGAGCGAGAGUGAGUGGUUCGCCGAGAGAGAAGGGGAAGGGGGGAAAAGAGGUGCGGACCGCCUGGCUCCAGUGCCGAAGAAUUCCUCUUCCAUCGUUCUCUCUCUCUCUCUGGAACUCUCUCUUUUCCUCUCUCUCUCUCUCUCUCUCUCUCUCUCUCUCUCUCUCAAUCCCACCCUUUCGUGCUGCAUGCCAUUCUGCUCUUUCCCUGCUUUCUUUCCUUUUGCUUUUUGGACCCUCGUGAGGGACAUCAGCGCACGCUUCCACCUCACACUGUGGAGCACACGAGAAGACCCAGACUCUCAACCCCAGCAUGGCCUGCCCUUCCGCCACAUUGCUUGGGCUAUUGCUCCUCAUCACUGGUCAGGCUAAAGCAGGACCUGAAAUUGACCUCCGGCCAGCGGAUGUCCAGUCCAGCGUUUGUCAGGGUCACAACGUUCUCCAUGACAAACUAGAUACCGUGGAGAAGCGUGUGGAAGACACCAUUCGGAAGCUCGAGGCGGAGAUGGCUCUUCUGCUCGAUGCAAUCGAAGGUCCCGAGUGGCGACCUGUUCUGCACCCCGACAGCCCCGCCAUCGAUAUCCUAGACGCCCAAGACAAGAGCUCGGUGUCUUGAGGGGAGAAGAAUGAAGUCCUGGCGUACCUGUCUUUCGCAUGUCAUUUCUCUUUACGCUCAAGUGCUUCACGUGUCUGAGUGCUUGAUGGAAAACUACAAACUACUGGAUGGGCACAUCUGGAAAAUUCUGCUCACAAACGUUUACGAUACAGAGAAAUAAACUUAAAGAACACUUUACGUCA
rnacentral:lncRNA from 1 species